rnacentral:rRNA from 1 species
AGAGUUUGAUCCUGGCUCAGAGCGAACGCUGGCGGCAGGCUUAACACAUGCAAGUCGAGCGGGCGUAGCAAUACGUCAGCGGCAGACGGGUGAGUAACGCGUGGGAACGUACCUUUUGGUUCGGAACAACCCAGGGAAACUUGGGCUAAUACCGGAUAAGCCCUUACGGGGAAAGAUUUAUCGCCGAAAGAUCGGCCCGCGUCUGAUUAGCUAGUUGGUGAGGUAAUGGCUCACCAAGGCGACGAUCAGUAGCUGGUCUGAGAGGAUGAUCAGCCACAUUGGGACUGAGACACGGCCCAAACUCCUACGGGAGGCAGCAGUGGGGAAUAUUGGACAAUGGGCGCAAGCCUGAUCCAGCCAUGCCGCGUGAGUGAUGAAGGCCCUAGGGUUGUAAAGCUCUUUUGUGCGGGAAGAUAAUGACGGUACCGCAAGAAUAAGCCCCGGCUAACUUCGUGCCAGCAGCCGCGGUAAUACGAAGGGGGCUAGCGUUGCUCGGAAUCACUGGGCGUAAAGCGCACGUAGGCGGAUUGCUAAGUCAGGGGUGAAAUCCUGGAGCUCAACUCCAGAACUGCCUUUGAUACUGGCGAUCUUGAGUCCGGGAGAGGUGAGUGGAACUGCGAGUGUAGAGGUGAAAUUCGUAGAUAUUCGCAAGAACACCAGUGGCGAAGGCGGCUCACUGGCCCGGUACUGACGCUGAGGUGCGAAAGCGUGGGGAGCAAACAGGAUUAGAUACCCUAGUAGUCC